rnacentral:rRNA from 1 species
GAUGAAUGCUGGCGGCGUGCCUAACACAUGCAAGUCGAGCGGCAGCGAGGGGUGCUUGCACCCUGUCGGCGAGCGGCGAACGGCUGAGUAACGCGUAGGAAUUUGCCCCAAAGUGAGGAAUAACUGCCCGAAAGGGUAGCUAAUGCCGCAUAUGGUCUUCGGAUUAAAGGAUUUAUCCGCUUUGGGAGAAGCCUGCGUUGGAUUAGGUUGUUGGUAGGGUAAUGGCCUACCAAGCCGACGAUCCAUAGCUGGUCUGAGAGGGUGAUCAGCCAGACUGGAACUGAGACACGGUCCAGACUCCUACGGGAGGCAGCAGUGAGGAAUCUUCCACAAUGGGCGAAAGCCUGAUGGAGCAACGCCGCGUGAAGGAUGAAGGCCUUCGGGUUGUAAACUUCUUUUAUGAGUGAAGAAUAUGACGGUAACUCAUGAAUAAGCACCGGCUAACUACGUG